rnacentral:rRNA from 1 species
UACGUAGGGUGCAAGCGUUAAUCGGAAUUACUGGGCGUAAAGCGCGCGCAGGCGGCUAUCCAAGUCAGUGGUGAAAGCCCGGAGCUCAACUCCGGAAUUGCCUUCGAUACUGUUUGGCUUGAGUAUGGUAGAGGUUGGUGGAACUGCGAGUGUAGAGGUGAAAUUCGUAGAUAUUCGCAAGAACACCGGUGGCGAAGGCGGCCAACUGGACCAUUACUGACGCUGAGGCGCGAAAGCGUGGGGAGCAAACAGG